rnacentral:misc_RNA from 1 species
GAAAUGCGAUACGUAGUGUGAAUUGCAGAAUUCAGUGAAUCAUCGAAUCUUUGAACGCACAUUGCGCCCUUUGGUAUUCCAAAGGGCAUGCCUGUUCGAGCGUCAUUUGUACCCUCAAGCUUUGCUUGGUGUUGGGCGUCUUGUCUCCAGUCCGCUGGAGACUCGCCUUAAAGUCAUUGGCAGCCGGCCUACUGGUUUCGGAGCGCAGCACAAGUCGCACUCUUUUCCAGCCAAGGUCAGCGUCCAACAAGCCUUUUUUCAACUUUUGACCUCGGAUCAGGUAGGGAUACCCGCUGAACUUAA